CUGACUUCCGUGUACAAGAUGCCCCUUGAUUUUGAGUCUGACGAUUUUAGAAAAAAAUAGCAUCUUCUACAUGGAAAAAUACGAAAGAAAACAAGAGCUGUUGCAAGGAGGGUGCUGCCUGAUACACCCUGGAUUGGAACAUGACUGUACUUCCCCAACAACUCACAGUGAUCACUUGCUCACUGAAAUCAACCAAGGACUCCAAAGUCUAGGGGACUUGAAACUUCCAUCCUCUCCAAGAACCCUGUGAAUCCACUACAAGAACAAGCCUCCCUAGCCUGUUGGAGGAUGAGGGACCCUAUGGACCAGAUCCAAGCUAGUUCAGCCAUCCCAGCUGCAGUCUCAGACAGGAGAAGCCAGCCCUGAUCAGCAGAGCCACACGUCCAUCCCACAACUAACUGCAGAUGCCAGAGGAACCCAGCUGAAGCAGAAAAAUGACCACCUAAGACCACACUAGAUUGUCAACCCAAACAGCAAUGAUCUAAA